rnacentral:rRNA from 1 species
GAACUUUCCAGAGAUGGAUUGGUGCCUUCGGGAACUGUGAGACAGGUGCUGCAUGGCUGUCGUCAGCUCGUGUUGUGAAAUGUUGGGUUAAGUCCCGCAACGAGCGCAACCCUUAUCCUUUGUUGCCAGCGGUCCGGCCGGGAACUCAAAGGAGACUGCCAGUGAUAAACUGGAGGAAGGUGGGGAUGACGUCAAGUCAUCAUGGCCCUUACGACCAGGGCUACACACGUGCUACAAUGGCGCAUACAA